UACAGAGGUCUCAAGCGUUGUUCGGAUUCAUUGGGCGUAAAGGGUGCGUAGGCGGCGCGGUAAGUCGGGUGUGAAAUCUCGGAGCUUAACUCCGAAACUGCAUUCGAUACUGCGGUGCUUGAGGACUGGAGAGGAGACUGGAAUUCAUGAUGUAGCAGUGAAAUGCGUAGAGAUCAUGAGGAAGACCAGUGGCGAAGGCGGGUCUCUGGACAGUUCCUGACACUGAGACACGAAGGCCAGGGGAGCAAACGGG
rnacentral:rRNA from 1 species